UCCUCCACAACAUCCACUUUCUUGUUUUUAGGCAUUGCAGGUUCUGGAGUUGGUGCCUUCUCAGGAGACUUCUUUUUUACAAAAUGCAGUAAGGUGAUCAGAUAACAUGGCACAAUAUAGAGGUUAGUCAACAUACAUAUGACAAAACCAAAUACUUUCUUUACCUUGUUGAGCUGUACAACAGCAGCAUCUUCAGUGACACCUUGUCUCCUCAUCUUGCUCAUAGCCUUCUUGUGGUAACCUACAAACCUCUCCAGUUCCCACAUCGUUUCAUUGUCAAUGAGCUCAAAGUCAAGCUCAAUCUCAUUCCCAUCCUGUGUAAGAUUAGGGGUCUUCUUCUUUACAAUUUGCAAAGCAUGAUCCAACUUCACUAGGGGAAGAUCCUGCAAGUCAGCCCCUAACUUCACCUUUUCCUCAAAGGUCAUUUGCCUUUUGUUUGGAUCCUUAGCCUUGGGCUUGGGCAAUUUAGCUGAACUAGGCGUUGUAAUGACAGGAUGUGGAGGAGAUUUUAAAGCAGGGGUUGGGGUUGCAAAAAUAGGUGCAACAGGGACCUGAAAUUGGUGUUGAUUCAACAAUGUGGAUUGCAACCUCACAGAGUCUGAUUUUCUAGCAACCGGCAACUGUUGAUGUAAGGCAUUUGG
rnacentral:lncRNA from 1 species